GACGAACCGUGCGAACGUUAUUCGGAAUCACUGGGCUUAAAGCGCGUGUAGGCGGGACGGCACGUCGGUCGCUGAAAUCCCCCGGCUCAACCGGGGAACGGGCGCCGAUACGACCGCCCUGGAGGGGCGUAGGGGACCUGGAACUUCCGGUGGAGCGGUGAAAUGCGUUGAGAUCGGAAGGAACGCCCGUGGCGAAAGCGAGGUCCUGGACGCUUACUGACGCUGAGAAGCGAAAGCAUGGGGAGCGAACGGG
rnacentral:rRNA from 1 species